CCUACGGGUGGCAGCAGUGGGGGAUAUUGCACAAUGGGGGGAACCCUGAUGCAGCGACGCCACGUGUGGGAAGACGGUCCUCUGGAUUGUAAACCACUGUCCCCAGGGACGAAAAUGACGGUACCUGGGGAGGAAGCUCCGGCUAACUACGUGCCAGCAGCCGCGGUAAUACGUAGGGAGCGAGCGUUGUCCGGAAUUACUGGGUUUAAAGGGAGCGUAGGCGGGGAUGCAAGUUGGGGGUCAAAACUACCGGCGCAACUGGGAGUUGUACUUAAAACUGCAGUUCUUGAGUGAAGUAGAGGCAGGCGGAAUACCUAGUGUAGCGGUGAAAUGCGUAGAUAUUAGGAGGAACACCAGUGGCGAAGGCGGCCUGCUGGGCUUUUACUGACGCUGAGGCUCGAAAGCGUGGGGAGCAAACAGGAUUAGAUACCCCUGUAGUC
rnacentral:rRNA from 1 species